UUCAUCAACAGUAAAUUAGCCCGAAUUUCAUAUUAAUUCUUUAAUAACAAAUUAACCAAAAUUUCAUAUUAAUUUACCAACAACAAAUUAACAUAAAUCUCAUACUAAUUAAUAAAGCUCAAAUAUAAGGCCCACAAAUACACAAGCCCAAUUUCAACAAUAAUUAAUAUUAAAAUUAAAUAAAGAAAAAAAUAGUAGUAGUAGUAGUAGUAGUAGUAAUAAUAAUAAUAAUAAUAACAACAAUAAUAAUAACCGACUAUCGAAAAAAAAAAAGGUGGAAGAUGAGGGAAUCCCCGACUAUUGAAAAUGACGUCGGUGAUGACUGAACGGCGAUGGAUAUGG
rnacentral:lncRNA from 1 species